CUGAAUGAGAUUAAAGAUUUAUCGGUGAUGGAUGGGGAUGCGUCUGAUUAGCUUGUUGGCGGGGUAACGGCCCACCAAGGCGACGAUCAGUAGGGGUUCUGAGAGGAAGGUCCCCCACAUUGGAACUGAGACACGGUCCAAACUCCUACGGGAGGCAGCAGUGAGGAAUAUUGGUCAAUGGGCGAGAGCCUGAACCAGCCAAGUAGCGUGCAGGAAGACGGCCCUAUGGGUUGUAAACUGCUUUUAUAAGGGAAUAAAGUGAGUCUCGUGAGACUUUUUGCAUGUACCUUAUGAAUAAGGACCGGCUAAUUCCGUGCCAGCAGCCGCGGUAAUACGGAAGGUCCGGGCGUUAUCCGGAUUUAUUGGGUUUAAAGGGAGCGUAGGCCGGAGAUUAAGCGUGUUGUGAAAUGUAGAUGCUCAACAUCUGCACUGCAGCGCGAACUGGUUUCCUUGAGUACGCACAAAGUGGGCGGAAUUCGUGGUGUAGCGGUGAAAUGCUUAGAUAUCACGAAGAACUCCGAUUGCGAAGGCAGCUCACUGGAGCGCAACUGACGCUGAAGCUCGAAAGUGCGGGUAUCGAACAGGAUUAGAUACCCUGGUAGUCCGCACGGUAAACGAUGGAUGCCCGCUGUUGGUCUGAAUAGGUCAGCGGCCAAGCGAAAGCAUUAAGCAUCCCACCUGGGGAGUACGCCGGCAACGGUGCAACUCAAAGGAAUUGACGG
rnacentral:rRNA from 1 species